rnacentral:rRNA from 1 species
UACGGGGGGAGCAAGCGUUGUUCGGAUUUACUGGGCGUAAAGGGCGCGUAGGCGGCCAGCACAAGUCAGUUGUGAAAUCUCCGGGCUUAACUCGGAAAGGUCAACUGAUACUGUGCGGCUAGAGUGCAGAAGGGGCAACUGGAAUUCUCGGUGUAGCGGUGAAAUGCGUAGAUAUCGAGAGGAGCACCUGCGGCGAAGGCGGGUUGCUGGGCUGACACUGACGCUGAUGCGCGAAAGCGUGGGGAGCAAACAGG